ACAUCUUUAAUAUUUAUGAAUAAUUCAACAAACAAAUUAUACAACAGAUUAAAAUAUAGACAUGACACAUGGAGGGAAUAACCACAAAGAUAAAAGUAUUGACACAUGUCUAUAUGUUCAAUAAUUAUUUUAUUUAUUAAUUUUUAAUAUCUAUAACUUACGAUAAAAAUUAUCCCCAAUUGAAGUUUAAACAUGUCUUAAACAAAAAUGAAGGGUUAAAUUUGAGAAGAAAGCAUAUUUUGAAGCUAUCAACACAGCAUAUGGCUAACAUCUGUCUAAUGAAAACUGAAAACAAACACUAAGCUUGAGAAUGUCAAAAGACGGAGUGAGAGGUUUUGAGACUCGCAAACAUCGUUCACUUCUCUACUUUUUUCUCUAUCUCUUAUUAGAUUGCAGGAAAAAAUGGGUGCAUCUGCUCUAUUCUGUCAUUUUUCAGCAGCUUUAUGUGCGAAUCUUCAAGAAACAAUAACAGUUAACUCUCCUGCAGGAGCUAAAGAUAGAUCAGUAACAGAUGGGCUCAUAAAACCCACUUAAAAUUUGGUAGAAGAAGAUUUAUCCUCGCAUGAACAAACAUUACCGCCACAAUCGUAAUUCCUCUUGCUUCUGGUACUGGUAGGACCUCCUCUGUGUCUGUGGUUUUUCUGAUUUCGAAUUAUUAUUAAUUUGUAACCGUACUUUGAAUUAAAAUUUUCAUAGUUUACUUUAUGACCUUUAAUCCCAAUUUAAUUUGUGCUUUGCUCCUCUCCUCAUUCAUGCGAUUUGUUUUAAUCCUUUACGCAAGAUUGUAAAAAGAAAUUUGCUUCUCCUGGAGUUUGAAGCUCACUGACAAGGCGAGUCUCUACCUUGCAUGUUCCUUUUUCUUUCUUUUUUUUUUAAUUUCUCUUUAAUUGUUUUAACAAAGGUUAGCAAACUCCAUUUUUGUCGUUGAAGAACUCUGGUAAGUUUAUAAAAUUUUUAUCUUUGUCUUUUUUUUUCUCCUUUUUACAUUAUUUAAAAUUGUAAAUUUCUUUGGUGAUAGUAAUUAUUAUUUUUUAAGGUGACUGGUUUUAGAUUAUGCAAGGCUUAAUCACAGCACUAUUUCGUUUUUCAAUUAUUUGAAACCAGAAACUGCUAUUCCAAGGUGGAGUCGUGUUUGCUUAAAUGCUUCUAAGAUUGUGAAGGAAUUGUCCGAAGACACCAAAGCACAAAAAUUGGCUUUUCAACAUUGGAUUGAAGCUAUAAUUUAACAAUUAUGUUGGGUUAUGAGAUCCGUUCUACUAUUGUCCAUGAGCAAAUGCUUCAAACCUUGAAAGAUAUCUUUGCAGUGAAGAUUGUUCCGGAGGCCAAGGUAUGCAUGUUAUAUACUUUUCAAAUGUGAAAAGGAAGGCCUCUAACAUUUGUUAUAUGUUGUGCCUUCUUAUCAACUCAUAGACUGGAAUAAGUACACUGAACAUUCUUGGAUUUUAACUUUGUUAUGGAAUCGCUGAUAAUCAACUGUCCAACUCUAUUGUAGUUGUGUGAGAAAAAGGUCGAUAUUGUUACUAUAUUACUUUCAAAUAGUUAAAACUAAUUUUUUUUUUAAAUACUAAGAGAAAAUUUUUUAAGUAAAUAAAAGAAAACCAAGAGAGAAGAAAAUGAUGUAUUAUAGUUUUAGUCAUACUUAACUUGGAUUCAAAUAAAUAUGAGAUGUGGGAAAAGUGAAAAAGGAAGAAAAUUAGAAAAUGCUUUGGCUUUGGUCAGAGAGAGAUUUCUUGUUUGGAUAUUUCAAAAAUAAGUGUGGAAAACAAUGAAAA